rnacentral:rRNA from 1 species
AUUGAACGCUGGCGGCAUGCUUUACACAUGCAAGUCGAACGGUAACAGGGAGCUUGCUCCGCUGACGAGUGGCGAACGGGUGAGUAAUAUAUCGGAACGUGCCCAAGAGUGGGGGAUAACGUAGCGAAAGUUACGCUAAUACCGCAUACGAUCCAAGGAUGAAAGCAGGGGACCUUCGGGCCUUGUGCUCCUGGAGCGGCCGAUAUCUGAUUAGCUAGUUGGUGAGGUAAAGGCUCACCAAGGCGACGAUCAGUAGCUGGUCUGUGAGGACGACCAGCCAAACUGGAACGGAGACACGGUCCAGACUCCUACGGGAGGCAGCAGUGGGGAAUUGUGGACAAUGGGGGCAACCCUGAUCCAGCAAUGCCGCGUGAGUGAAGAAGGCCUUCGGGUUGUAAAGCUCUUUUGUCAGGGAAGAAAAGGGUACGGCUAAUAUCCGUGCCUCAUGACGGUACCUGAAGAAUAAGCACCGGCUAACUACGUGCCAGCAGCCGCCGUAA